rnacentral:rRNA from 1 species
GACGAAGGGGGCAAGCGUUGUUCGGAAUUACUGGGCGUAAAGGGCGCGUAGGCGGCUCUGUAAGUCAGGCGUGAAAGCCCUGGGCUCAACCUGGGAGUGGCGCUUGAUACUGUGGGGCUAGAGAGCGGGAGAGGAUGGUGGAAUUCCCAGUGUAGAGGUGAAAUUCGUAGAUAUUGGGAAGAACACCGGUGGCGAAGGCGGUGGUCUGGGCCAUUACUGACGCUGAGGAGCGAAAGCCAGGGGAGCGAACGGG